CAUGUAGGUGGCUUGGAAAGUUGGGUGUGAAAGCCCGGGGCCCAACCCCGGAAUUGCACUCAAAACUUCCUCGCUAGAGUCUCGGAGAGGAAAGCGGAAUUCCCGGUGUAGAGGUGAAAUUCGUAGAUAUCGGGAGGAACACCAGUGGCGAAGGCGGCUUUCUGGACGAUGACUGACACUGAGAUGCGAAAGCGUGGGGAGCAAACAGGAUUAGAUACCCUGGUAGUCC
rnacentral:rRNA from 1 species